CUAACAAGAAGAAGAGGAUGAAGAUGAAGAGGAUGAAGAGGAUCAAGCCUCGCCACGUGGAGAGAAGAGAAAGAGGGACUUGGAUGAAGAGGAGGAUGAGUAAUGACUCUUGUAAACUGCUGUGGCUACCUUUAAGCUGGUAGAGUGCACGUGUAGUCUUCUCCUGACCCAGACUGGGUGCACAAGAUAUUAAAUGCAUGUUGCCAGUACAGGAAAUGUACAUCCAUUGUAUUAAACUAGAACUGGACUUGAUGCAUUUACUCUACUACACAGACGUAGACUGCAAAACCAUUUUGAAGAAACUUGACCAUGUGGCAUUCCAAAGAAAGUUUAAUACAGCCUGGCAUCUUCUGGACUAAUUCUUGGCUUUCAUGUUUCGGCAAAUGAUUUGUGGUUUGGUAUGGUGAUAGUGUUCCCUGUGGUAUAGGAAAACCUCAACAGCAUCCUCCCCAAGAGUGAAGUCUUGAAAUGCUAAAGCUCAGGGUCACAGAACCUUUAGAUUUAAAUGUAUAUUACGUAUUGUACAUUACAUUUUGUAAUGCUCCCUUUUGAGCCAGUGUACAUUUGUUCUAACUUCUGAUUUUUUUAAUCUAUUUAAAAUGCAUUGAGCACUAGGAUGUUUAUCCAGCCAGCAGUAUUUGAGCUUGAGUGUAAAUUAUGUACAUAUGUAUGGGUAUAAUGUAAAGCUAUGCCAUUUUCUGUUUGAAGUACAAUUUCUCAUGUCUAACAAUUUGACUGUGGGGAAAAGUAUCAGAAUAUGGUGUGCAACCAUUUUGCAAUGCAAGUAGAUAUUUGUGGGGUGCAGAGUCUAGUAUAUUCAUAUAGCAAGUCUUCUGUUAUCUAAAAUCAACAAGUUUUCUCCUUUCUGUGGGUUGUAUGUCUGGAAAUGGCGACUGUGCUUGGUGCUGUUGGGCUCUUUUUCUCAGAGAAAAUACUUGCCCUUCUGAGUUAGCAAAGUUUUGUUUUGUACAGUACUUUGAGUUUAGAAUAAGCAUUCAGAGACUUAUUUAUAAACCACGCUUUUUAUAUUUGAAAAUGGCAGACAUUAGAAUUUUAGUGCUGUUUUAAUAAAUUUGAGUGUGUAUUCGGUC